rnacentral:rRNA from 1 species
UACGAAGGGGGCUAGCGUUGCUCGGAAUCACUGGGCGUAAAGGGUGCGUAGGCGGGUCUUUAAGUCCGGGGGGAAAUCCUGGAGCUCAACUCCAGAACUGCCUUUGAUACUGAGGAUCCUGAGUUCGGGAGAGGUGAGUGGAACUGCGAGUGUAGAGGUGAAAUUCGUAGAUAUUCGCAAGAACACCAGUGGCGAAGGCGGCUCACUGGCCCGAUACUGACGCUGAGGCACGAAAGCGUGGGGAGCAAACAGG